UACGAAGGGGGCUAGCGUUGUUCGGAAUUACUGGGCGUAAAGCGCGCGUAGGCGGUGAUCUUUGUCAGAGGUGAAAGCCCGGGGCUCAACUCCGGAAUUGCCUUUGAGACUGCAUCGCUAGAAUUGUGGAGAGGUAAGUGGAAUUCCGAGUGUAGAGGUGAAAUUCGUAGAUAUUCGGAAGAACACCAGUGGCGAAGGCGACUUACUGGACACAUAUUGACGCUGAGGUGCGAAAGCGUGGGGAGCAAACAGG
rnacentral:rRNA from 1 species